CCUACGGGAGGCAGCAGUAAGGAAUUUUCCACAAUGGGCGAAAGCCUGAUGGAGCAACGCCGCGUGCAGGAUGAAGGCCCUAGGGUUGUAAACUGCUUUUAUAUGUGACGAAUAUGACGAUAGCAUAUGAAUAAGGAUCGGCUAACUCCGUGCCAGCAGCCGCGGUAAU
rnacentral:rRNA from 1 species